CAUUUUCAUAUUGCAUUCUCUAAUUAUCUUCUUACCUUUUGGAUUCUCUACAGGUCAGGAUCAAUUUGGAACUUACAUGGGAGAUGCUUAAUAUCACUCUAUCUUUCUAAGCUAGAGUGCUAGAAGGGAUCUGAGUUCUUAACUAUGACUGGUCUGGAGAUGAGAAGCCGCAUCACUAGAACAUCGUCAAUCUCAAAAAGGUCGUCACCUUGCCAGGUUUGACAAAUAUGCAAUGUGAUGGCUGUUUUUAAAAAAAAUGAUUUUUCUCCGCUUGCUCAGUACCUCCACGAAUGAUUUGGUAAUUUGAUCAAGAUGCCAGUCUCGGAUUGGCGGAGUUGUUGGAAACAAGGAUCUGUACCUCGGCACUUUCAGUAAGAAAGAUCUCUAUUUGACUGUAGGUUUUGUAUUUUGAAUCGACAAAUAUGUGGUGAGCCGAGCCUUUUGAGGUAAGGGUACCUGCCGACGUGCCUCUUGUUUAAGUGUUGAAGUGGACUUCAGAUUGUAUGUAAUUUUCUAGAGGAAUGCUAUGGCACUAAUUACUCAGUCAUUUUUCUGCAUAACACUAAUCUGCACCAUCGUUACUGAUCCGAAAUUUGCGUCAAAUUUGUUGACGUAAGUUUCUGAGCUACAUCCAGUGCUGUAUCAAGGCCUCAAGAGGAAAUACUUUCAUUGCCUGUGUGAACAAUUAGGCCUCAACUUUGCUAAAUA